AACGAACGCUGGCGGCAUGCCUAACACAUGCAAGUCGAACGAGACCUUCGGGUCUAGUGGCGCACGGGUGCGUAACGCGUGGGAACCUUCCCUUAGGUUCGGAAUAACUCCCCGAAAGGGGUGCUAAUACCGGAUAAUGUCUUCGGACCAAAGAUUUAUCGCCUUUGGUUGGGCCCGCGUUGGAUUAGCUAGUUGGUAGGGUAAAAGCCUACCAAGGCGGCGAUCCAUAGCUGGAAUGAGAGGAGGAUCAGCCACACUGGGACUGAGACACGGCCCAGACUCCUACGGGAGGCCGCAGUGGGGAAUAUUGGACAAUGGGCGAAAGACUGAUCCAGCAAGGCCGCGUGAGUGAUGAAGGCCUUAGGGUUGUAAAGCUAUUUUACCCGGGAUGAUAAUGACAGUACCGGGAGAAUAAGCUCCGGCUAACUCCGU
rnacentral:rRNA from 1 species